rnacentral:miRNA from 1 species
GUAGUCUUCCGAGCAGUAUGU